CCUACGGGAGGCAGCAGUGGGGAAUAUUGCACAAUGGGGGAAACCCUGAUGCAGCGACGCCGCGUGGAGGAAGAAGGUCUUCGGAUUGUAAACUCCUGUUGUUGAGGAAGAUAAUGACGGUACUCAACAAGGAAGUGACGGCUAACUACGUGCCAGCAGCCGCGGUAAAACGUAGGUCACAAGCGUUGUCCGGAAUUACUGGGUGUAAAGGGAGCGCAGGCGGGAAGACAAGUUGGAAGUGAAAUCCAUGGGCUCAACCCAUGAACUGCUUUCAAAACUGUUUUUCUUGAGUAGUGCAGAGGUAGGCGGAAUUCCCGGUGUAGCGGUGGAAUGCGUAGAUAUCGGGAGGAACACCAGUGGCGAAGGCGGCCUACUGGGCACCAACUGACGCUGAGGCUCGAAAGUGUGGGUAGCAAACAGGAUUAGAUACCCUGGUAGUCCACACCGUAAACGAUGAUUACUAGGUGUUGGAGGAUUGACCCCUUCAGUGCCGCAGUUAACACAAUAAGUAAUCCACCUGGGGAGUACGACCGCAAGGUUGAAACUCAAAGGAAUUGACGGGGGCCCGCACAAGCAGUGGAGUAUGUGGUUUAAUUCGACGCAACGCGAAGAACCUUACCAAGUCUUGACAUCCUGCGACGGUGCUGGAAACAGUACUUUCCUUCGGGACGCAGAGACAGGUGGUGCAUGGUUGUCGUCAGCUCGUGUCGUGAGAUGUUGGGUUAAGUCCCGCAACGAGCGCAACCCUUAUGGUCAGUUACUACGCAAGAGGACUCUGGCCAGACUGCCGUUGACAAAACGGAGGAAGGUGGGGAUGACGUCAAAUCAUCAUGCCCUUUAUGACUUGGGCUACACACGUACUACAAUGGCGUUAAACAAAGAGAAGCAAGACCGCGAGGUGGAGCAAAACUCAGAAACAACGUCCCAGUUCGGACUGCAGGCUGCAACUCGCCUGCACGAAGUCGGAAUUGCUAGUAAUCGCAGAUCAGCAUGCUGCGGUGAAUACGUUCCCGGGCCUUGUACACACCGCCCGUCACACCAUGAGAGCCGGGGGGACCCGAAGUCGGUAGUCUAACCGCAAGGAGGACGCCGCCGAAGGUAAAACUGGUGAUUGGGGUGAAGUCGUAACAAGGUAGCCGUAGGAGAACCUGCGGCUG
rnacentral:rRNA from 1 species